CACGUAGGGUGCGAGCGUUGUCCGGAAUUAUUGGGCGUAAAGAGCUCGUAGGCGGUUUGUCGCGUCUGCUGUGAAAACUCAGGGCUUAACCCUGAGCCUGCAGUGGGUACGGGCAGACUAGAGUGUGGUAGGGGAGAUCGGAAUUCCUGGUGUAGCGGUGGAAUGCGCAGAUAUCAGGAGGAACACCGGUGGCGAAGGCGGAUCUCUGGGCCAUAACUGACGCUGAGGAGCGAAAGCAUGGGGAGCGAACAGG
rnacentral:rRNA from 1 species